rnacentral:miRNA from 1 species
UGUUCACUGUGUGUACACUAUAUGUGUGUGUGUGUAUAUGCAUACACACUCACACACACACACACACACACACACACACACACACACACA